GCCACAUGUUGACUCAGUGGCGCUUCUCCAUGCAGGACAUGGGAGGGGGAGGGACUCACACUCUGUAAACAGGAAUAGGUUCAUCACUGGUCACUGAGCUGAUACUUUCAUAUCUAACAUGCUGGUGAUGCUAGCCAGCUAACCUCAUAUCUGGAUGCCUCACUCUAGUUCCCGAUAGAGCAGCAUACUGGCCCUCCAUUCCCAAACUUGAAGCCCCCUGUCGCCAACUGGAAAGACCAGGAAAAAGAGUUACUGACAUGAAAAGAAGCAUAUACAAGCAACCUAUCAUAUGUAUUUUAUAAAGCCCCUUUUACAUCAGCAGUUGUCACAAAGUGCUUAUACAGAUACCCAGCCUAAAACCCCAAAGAAUAAGCAUUGCAGACUUAGAAGCACAGUGGCUAGGAAAAACUUCCUAGAAAUAUAAGGGCGCAAGGCGAGAUCCAUAUGCAGACACCGGAGGUAGAUGGUUUGAGUCUUUGAUAUUUAUUGAUCAAUCCAAAAGGGGUAGGCAAGAGUGGUCGUGGACAGGCAAAAGGUCAAAACCAGUCCAGAGUCCAGGAGGUACAGAGUGGCAGGCAGAAUGGUCAGGUAGGCGGGUACGGAGUCCAGAAAACGGGCAAGGAUCAAAACCAGGAGGGCAAGAAAUAAGGGAAUAGAAGCAGGAGUACGGGAAAACACACUGGUUGACUUGAAAGACAUACAAGACGAACUGGCACAGAGAGACAGGAAACACAGGGACAAACACACCAGGGAAUAUAAGCGACACCUGGAGGGGGUGAAGACAAUCACAAGGACAGGUGAAACAGAUCAGGGUGUGACAAGAAAGGCAGGAACCUAGGAAGAAACCUAGAGGAACCAGGCUCUGAUGGGUGGCCAGUCCUAUUCUGGCUGUGCUGGUGGAGAUUAUAUAAGAGUACAGCCAUUUAGCCAGAUUAUUCUUCAAGACGUUUAAACGUUCAUAGAUGACCAGCAGUGUCAAAUAAUUGAGGGUUAUUGAGGGUGCAAUAGUUCAGCACCUCAGGAGUAAAUGCCAGUUGGCUUUUCAUGUCUGAGCAUUUAGAGGUUGAGACAGAGAAAGACAGGAUCAAACAGUGGGUCUGGGACAAGUUAGUACCUCCGGUGAGCCUUGAGCAGGUCAGGGUUCCAUAGCUGCAGACAGAAACAGCAGAGACAGCAGAACGACUAGGUGGACUGGAGACGGGGACAGCCAGGAGUUGUCAGGCCAGAUAGUCCCGAGGCAUGGUCCUAGAGCUCAUGUUCUGCAUCCUUUAUUUAACUUGAGUGUAGACUAAGCCCUAGAGGUUUGUAACUUCACAUGAUUUAGCCUAGUUGUCAAUCCAGAUCUGAAUAUUUGAUAUCCUUUUUACUGUACACUGUUGAUAGUAAUUUUUCACAAGCUAAUCACUGAAUGGCCUACUACAAGGAUGUUUUCAACUUGACACUUCUAUGUCAAAAUAACACAGAACACACACACACACACACAUCAGAUGGCAAUGGCAAGUACAACGAGCAGUUGGGAAAAUUAAGUCUGCUGCGUGUGUUGCCAGAUACACACACACACACACACACACAAACUUACUUCAUUUGUUGUAUUGUAUUUAUUAUGGAUCCCCAUUAGCUGCUGCCAAGACAGCAGUUACUCUUCUUUGGGUCCAGCAAAAUUUAAGGCAGUCAUACAAUUUUAAAAACAUUAAAAUACAUUCACAACAUAUGCCCUCAGGCCACAACUCUACUACAACAUAUCUACAGCACAAAAUCCUUGUGUACGUGUGUAUACAGUGUGUAUGUCAUCGUUUGUAUGCAUGUCUCUUCACAGUCCCCGCUGUUCCGUAAGGUGUAUUUUUUAUCUGUUUUUGAAAUUUAAUUUUACUGCUUGCACAAGUUACUUGAUGUGGAAUAGAGUUCCAUGUAGUCAUGGCUCUAUGUACGACUGUGCGCCUCCCAUAGUUUGUUCUGUUUAGGUUAGUGUGUAGUCAGGCUUUGUCAUUAAAAUUGUGCCUAUUUUUCAGAUCUGCCAACCUGCUCGGCGGUGUGAUGUGGUCCAGAUCCGACACCCCUAUUAGCUCAACCACAGUCUUCACAGCUGCAGUCGUCUGCAUCUGAUACACCGGCCACGACAGGUGACACAGAUCUGCCAUGCCCAGCAGUUCAGCUGCAGUCACAGCAGUCCACUGCUGUAGUAUUUAAUUUACCGGCUGCACCAGUUUCUACUCCACUGGCCGUGAAGGGAGAAACUUUUGAGGAUUCCCAGAUGGACACAGAUCUGCCAUGCACUCCACCACUGCCUGACAACCUCACCCAGAAGUGCAUACACUGGGCCGUUCAAGACUGACAAAGCAGAGUUGGGUGGCUGACAAGGAAAAAUAAAACAUGUGCACACACUCUCACACAGUUUAUCCACAAUGUAAAUAAGUUGUAAUUGCUUGCUUGUUUAAUGUUUGCUCCAUUUUAUUUUAUGAUUGGAGAUAUCUACUCCUAUAUAUCCAUUAUCAAUGUCUGCAUAAUUACUCUAAAUAUCUAUCAAAUCAAAGUGGGAUUGAUAAUAUUAUAAAAGACUGUGUACAGUUUUAGGAAAUUCUGUUGAAAAACAUGCCUGCCUCCCUCUCACACACACUACACCCAAUGUAAAUAAAUUGCAAUAACUUGUUUAAUGUAUGUAUGCUCCACUUUAUUUUAGGAAAAGAUCUGUAAUAAAGUACAUUCACAGUUAAAGUAA